AUCAUUGGCUUUUUCAUUUUUGUAGGAAGCUGAUUUAGUUUUGGGGGGUGAUGAUGGCAAGGAAUGUACCUACAACAAAGGUUAUAUGAAAAGGCAAGCAAUUUUCUCUUGCCUCACCUGUACUCCAGAUGGGAAUGCUGGAGUUUGCACAGCUUGUUCAUUGUCUUGCCAUGAUGGUCAUCAGCCUAGUGACGUUGAAAGUGAACCUGAAUCACCGUUAGAUGCUAGAGGAUCAUCUGGUGGUAGCAACUUGAAUAGCGAGUCUAAUAUUUAGACCUAGUUUCUUAUAUUGUAGACUUCUUUAGGUUAUCAUGGUUUUUGAAUUUAUAAAGUGUUGUAAAAACUUAGUUUCUUUUGGU